CCCUAUUAUUUUAGAAUGUUAAUUUUUGUGCCUGAGUAGUAUUAGUUAUGUUCUUGAAACUUAAAGAAUUUGGCGGUAUCUCAUUCCGUCCAGAGGAAUCUGUCCCGUUAUCGAUAGUCCGCGUUGGACCUUACUUAUUUGCUUUUGGUUUGUAUACCGCCGUUUAUUGAUUAUCUUUUUAGAGGUUGACUUAAUUUUCUGGUUUCUUUAUUUUGAUGUAUUUCAGGUCAAGGUGCAGCUUGUUUUUAAGUGGAUGAUGGAUUACAUUAUUAUUUGUUUAUGGAUUGUCGGUUUUAAUAUUGGCAUGAAAUUGGAUUUGGUUGUAAUGAUUUGUAGAUUGUUAUUGUGAUAAUUGGUUCUGAGAUAUGCACACAUCGCCCGUCGCUCUCGUUUGUUUAUUAUAAUGAGAUAAGUC
rnacentral:rRNA from 1 species